CGCUGGUGGCGUGUCUUAUACAUGCAAGUCGAGCGGUGCAGCAAUGCAUAGCGGCGAACGGGUGAGUAACGCGUAAGCAAUCUGCCCCCUGCUCGGGAAUAGCCGUGCCAACGCGCGGGUAAUACCGGAUAUGGUGGCCCUGGACAUCCGGGGUUGACAAAAGAUUUAUCGGCAGGGGAUGAGCUUGCGUCCGAUUAGCUAGUGGCGGGGCAACGGCCACCAAGGCGACGAUCGGUAGCCGGCCUGAGAGGGUGAUCGGCCACAUUGGGACUGAGAUACGGCCCAGACUCCUACGGGAGGCAGCAGUAGGGAAUAUUGCACAAUGGGGGAAACCCUGAUGCAGCAACGCCACGUGUGGGAAGAAGCAUUUCGGUGUGUAAACCACUGUCGUGAGGGAAUAAGGCAUCGUUUCGGCGAUGUUGAAUGUACCUCGAGAGGAAGCACCGGCAAACUUCGUGCCAGCCGCCGC
rnacentral:rRNA from 1 species